GAACCAGCGAGUCGUGUCAUUUUAAAAGACAACAAAUCGGUUAGUCGGCAGCUGCUCGGCUGAGCUGCCAUGUCGAGUUUCGCCGGAGCUCAGCAGAUGGAGUCAUGCAACUAAAAAAAGCAAAGCCCGUCCUGUGGAACAGAAGAUGAAGCACAGAUCCAAUCUGCUAAUGUACAAGCAACUGUAGGAGGGCAGCGACAGAGUCCUACUCGGCAACGAUAACCACAGAGCUACGAUGCAGGGGGGACGGUGAUGUUUAUACAGAGCAAGACAGCGGCCUGCUGGUUCACAC